AAUGAACGCUGGCGGCAUGCCUAACACAUGCAAGUCGAACGAAGGCUUCGGCCUUAGUGGCGCACGGGUGCGUAACGCGUGGGAAUCUGCCCUUUGCUUCGGAAUAACAGUUAGAAAUGACUGCUAAUACCGGAUGAUGUCGCAAGACCAAAGAUUUAUCGGCAAAGGAUGAGCCCGCGUAGGAUUAGCUAGUUGGUGGGGUAAAGGCCUACCAAGGCGACGAUCCUUAGCUGGUCUGAGAGGAUGAUCAGCCACACUGGGACUGAGACACGGCCCAGACUCCUACGGGAGGCAGCAGUGGGGAAUAUUGGACAAUGGGCGAAAGCCUGAUCCAGCAAUGCCGCGUGAGUGAUGAAGGCCUUAGGGUUGUAAAGCUCUUUUACCCGGGAUGAUAAUGACAGUACCGGGAGAAUAAGCUCCGGCUAACUCCGUG
rnacentral:rRNA from 1 species